AUUUAAUUACAUUUUAACUGUCUAUCUAGAGAAGAAUCAUUAAGAUAUUGGGUGUUUUUAGUGACACAUUAAUCACUAGUGCUGCUGAUUGUUCCUAAUACCAGAUUGAUUACCCUGUUUUAAUAAUAGCAGUCAGCAAAUUUUAAAUCCAUUUACAUGUUAUGCCCCCUUUUGUUCCACUUUGAUUUGAUGUUCUCUCUGAACCUCAAAAGGAACCAGAGACACUUCUAUUUUUGAUUUGUUUAUUUUCAA